rnacentral:lncRNA from 1 species
ACAUACUGUUAAAUAUGGUAUGUGCUAAUAAAAUUUUGUUCUAUUUUAAACCAUUAGUUUAAUACUAUACAAACAAAAACAUGGUUUGCUUUCAGUAUUAAAGUAAUAAUUCAAGGGUAUUUUUGCAUUUGUGGUUGUAAUUGUACUAGUUAUCAAUGUUUUCCAAUAAAGAAGUCAACCUAGGGAUGUUUUUUAAAAAUUGCCUUCAGGUGAAUUGUCUCAAAUUAGGCUUUCUCCUUAGCCUAUGUGUCCUUGAUGGGGCAUUGUUUAAAUCCUAAAUAUUGCACAUGCGUUUGGUUUUUCAGGGAGGCCCUGAACACCACCACUACUCAUUGUAUGCCUUUUAAGAAAUAAUUGUCUUUUUCAAUCACAUUCAAAUGAACAGUUUUGGUACUCAAUACAACCUGAUUCUGAUUAUGUAGCAUAUGAAAUUCAAAGGAUCAAAUCACCAGCAAUUUGCUUCCCCAAGUUGCUUUCUUAAAUCAGCUUUUAAAUAGAUUUAUGUUGCCUGUGGAUAUAAAGCAAUAGAGUAAAACUAAACCUUCCUGAUUUCCAAAUCAGCAUUUAAAGAGCUAUAAUUCAUAUUUAAUGAAGAAAAACAGCUAAAUAAGCAUCCACAAGUAUUUAACUAGAGACUUUCUGCUCAUAAAGUUUUUAUCCCCUGCUAAAAGCCCCUUUACUGUAUCUUUUUUUAUUAUACUUUGAUUUAAAAUUCUAAAAGGAAGUUGGAUAUUGUUAGACUGCUGUUACAUUAUAAGAAAACAAAUAUUAGGAAUAAAUUUUAGCUUAGUUAACCAGGACAAGAUUGGCAAUUUUCCUAACUUGUACUCAACAUUCAAGUUUUCAAAGACAGAAAAUGCUUUAUUGCCAACAGAACAUGAAAACAAUAUUGAGGCCAGAUGUCUCUGACCUUUGUGUAAGAGUAAAGCACUCUCUAUUUCAGGGUUGGACGUCCUGUUUAUAAAUAGGUACAUUGUGGUGAAAACUGACUUUGUUUUACCUGUGAAAUUGAGUUUGGCCAUUUCCCCUGAAAUAAAGAUGGGCUAUUGAGAGCUGCUUGCCUGAAGGCAAAGUAUAAAAUUGAUACCACAAUGUACAUGCACAUGGAGCUUUGUUGCUGCUCAAGGAUACAUGCCUCAGAUCUCCACCAGUGAAAAACAUGUCAAUGUCAGAACCAAGCUCAGGACUAGCCAAAAUGGAAGAAUUCACUGUUUGAGAGCUAGUUGGUUCCCUAAGAUAUUGUUUUGUUGGUUAUGGGUCUCAGUUUGGUGUCACACUUGGUAUAUUUUCUAAAUCAAACUCGUAUUGAAGAGCAAUGGUACAUGUUUAGAGUAUGAAUAAUUAAUAAAUAGACAACGAGGUUUUAGUAUGUAUAGCUGGCCACUGUUUACAAACAUGCUGAAGAAUGUAACAUCCCUUUUCCAGGCAUGACUGAUAUCUUUCAUCUUCCAUUUUUCUGGACAAAUAAAACUGACACCAUUGGGCCCAAACAAAUUCAUUCAGUUGCCUUAUCAGCUUCAUUCUCAACAAUAGUUCUGCUUUUAAAAGCAUUUAUUGAGCUUUUACUUACAUCUCGAACGUUUUAGUUUUGUUGUGUUUUUUGUUUUUUUUUUUUUUUGCUUUUUUUGGACUGAGCUUAGGCGUAUGGAAGUUUUCAGGCUAGGUGUCAAAUAAGAGCUGUGGCUGCCAGCCUAUGGCGUAUGCCAUAGCCGCAGCAGUGCCAGAUUCGAGCCAUGGCUGCAACUUACACCUCAACUUACGGCAACAAUCCCAGAUCCUUAACUCACUAAGCAAAGCCUGGAAUGAAUCCAUAUCCUCAUGGAUACUAGUUGGAUUUGUUAAUGCUGAGCCACAAGGGGAACUCCUCCAACUUUUUCUUUAAUAAAGUCAUCACAUGCACAAAUUUGUAGGUUUAAUCACUUUUAAGAACAGGAUGACAGUAGCUUAAGUUUUUGUUUUGCUUUUUGUACUUCUGUCUUCUAAAAUGUCCUUGCUUUUCUAGAAAGGACAUCAGGACCCAUAGCAGCCCUUUGCGUUCCUUUCUGUCUGUGGCAUAGUUUUGAUAAGUGCCCAAAGACUGGAUGAUCCUGAAGAAAUUUCCAUAUUCUUGGGAAUAAAAUUUAAACUGACCCCUGAUUCAAAACCUCAUACAAAUGAAAGAUGACUGAAUUUCUUCUGCCUUGAAUGGAGUACUCUAUUGAUCAUUGGAAUGAAAUAUAAGUGGUACCCAAUGCACUGCUAUUUUAAUGCAGCAAAGCAAAUUCAAUGAAUUGCUCAAUUCUCUUGGGUCCUUAAGAAAACUACGUAGGCCAUGGUCUUAAUAGCGAAAUGGGACAAGGAAAUUGAGUAUAGGGUCUCCAAGUACUCAUCCAUUAGGCCAUGACAUCUGCAUUACUCUCAGGAUAAUGUAGGGCCUUAAUAAAAGAGUUAAAGACUGGACUGCAGUUUAAUGUUCAAGCCAUGCGUUGUAUAUGUGGGAUGACUUGCUUUGCCUCUGAAGGGCAUCUGCAUCUAGUGACCUGUUGAUUGCCUAAUGAAGAUAAAAGAAUGCCUUAAGUGGCAAAAUCCUUCACAGAGAUUAUUCUCAUAUUCUGCCACUUGUGAAAAUAUACACAGCACAGUUUAAAUGACAGUUAGCUUUGGACAGUCAGCUUUGGUGUGUCAGGUUAGUAUUCGUGGGCUUACCUUACACACAUAUAGUAAUCGUGAUUUACUUAAGUGGACAACGCAUGAAUGGAAUGAGUACAGUUCUGAUCAUCUAACACAGGAGCACAUUAAUUCGUUUUAGUAUUCCUAUGAAAGAACAUUUUAAAAUUAGUUAAGUUACAAGAUUGAUUGAACAAUGCAUAUAUAUCUGGGGCAUUGAUGCUGCUGCAGUAAUAUGCCAUAUAUGUCUUGAAUUUAGUUAUGAAAACUAUAUGCUUAUGACACAGAUUUGGAAUCUGCGGGAAAAGUACAAAGUGAAAACUAUUAUAUCUUAAGUUUAUUCUGUAUAUCAGAAAUAUAUAUGAUAUAAAUUUGUGUAUUCAAAAUUAUGAUUUUCCUUCCAUUUUUACAUUUUAGGUGUUAAAGAGCAUGCUCUGCGCUACUAUUUUGAUUAUUAUCACAUUGUGUAUUGAUAUGAUGUGAAUUAUUUAACCAAUUUGUUAAUUAUAGACAUUGAGAUUAUUUCCAAAUUUAUAGCAUGAUACAGUUGUAAUAUGAAUAACCUGUAUAGAAAUCUUUGUGCAAUCUCUACUUCUUCGUCAGGAUGAUUUUUAAGAGCAGAAGUUUCUAGCAAAUGAGUAGCUCAUUACAAUGACUCUUAUGUAUAUUGCCAAGUUGCCUUCCAUAAAGGUUAUACCAAUUUUCGUGCUUACAAAUAUAGGAGAAUUUGUUUUCCCAUACUAUAGCCAACACUAAAAAUUUUACUUAAAAAAAAUAAUGGCCAAUUAAGAGUCAAAGCUAUUUCAUUUUAAAAUUAGCACAUUUGAUGACUUAAAAUGUUGAAUGAUUUUCACAUGCUUACCAGCGAUUUACCCAUCUUACUUGGUGUAUGGUCUACUUCUGUCAUGAGCUCAAGUCUUUCUUGGAGGAUAUUUGCUUUAUUCUUACUGAUUUUAAGAUUUUUCUCUAUAUUAGUAAUAUUAACACAUCUUUUUUGUCAUAUAUAUUAAAAUAUCAGUUUGAUGUUUGGAGAGGGGCAUUUCCAAGUGGGUUUUGUUUUCUGUACUUUACUUAGAAUAAUGUUAAAUUGGGUGGUCAAAGUGACUCAGUAUUUGGGAAGGAAGCCAAGGAACAUGAUGGACGUGUGAAGAGAAGGACUGGAAGACCAGAGUUUACAUUUUUUUUUGUUCUCAAUUCUUUCUUUUUUAAUAAUUUUUAUUUUUUUCAUUAUACCUGGUUUACAGUGUUCUGUCAAUUUUCUACUAUAGAGCAAAGUGACACAGUCACACAUACAUAUAUACAUUCUUUUCUCACAUUAUCCUCCAUUAUGCUCCAUUGUAAGUGACUAGAUAUAGUUCCCAGUGCUAUACAGCAGGAUCUCACUGCCUAUCCAUUCCAAAGGCAGUAUUUUGCCUCUAUUAACCCCUGAUUCCCAAUCCAUCCCACUCUCUCCCCCCUACCCCUUGGCAACCACAAGUCUGUUCUCCAAUAAUGUUCUUUUCUGUGGAAAGGUUCCUUUGUGCCAUAUAUUAGAUUCUAUAUAUAAGUGAUAUCAUAUGGUAUUUGUCUUUCUCUUUCUGACUUACUUCACUUAGUAUGAGUCUCUAGUUACAUCCAUGUUGCUGCAAAAGGCAUUAUUUUGUUCUUUUUUAUGGCUGAGUAGUAUUCCAUUGUGUAUACACACCACAUCUUCUUAAUCUAUUCAUCUGUCGAUGGACAUUUAGUUUGUUUCCAUGUCUUGGCUAUUGUGAAUAGUGCUUCAGUGAAUAUACAGGCACUUGUGUCUUUUUCAAGGAAAGUUUUAUCCGGAUAUAUGCCUGUAUGUUGGUUCUAGCAUAAAGGAGGCAAAUAAUUUACCUGGUAUUCUUACAUGACCACUUGAGAGCCAUUAAGAAUUUCCCCCCACAAAUACUAAUUCUUGGUAAAACAGAUUAAUAGGUGAUUCGUAGUUCAGGUAAAGUGAGUAAACUAUCCUAUGUGACUAAGGUGAUGACUAGAGAUGUACAUUCACUCUUAAGGUUAUUAAGCUUCCACAUGGUACCCUGCAGUUGAAAUUUCUAAGUAGCCUUUAAAAAUGGCUGAUACAAAUUUUUUAAGGUAGAUUUAAUCGGAGUCCAUCUAGUAGGGCUUGGCAUAAGUGCAUGGCCUGGAUAAACUAGCUUUUUCGAUAUCAUAUCAUGGACUGAAAGCAUUAAUAAUGAGCAGAUUACUGAAGACAGUGCCUUUGGCCACCAACAUUUUUUCUUAUGUGUUUAGGGGUUAUCUUCCUUCAGAGCUGUGCUGACUUAAG